CUAAGCUUCAGUUACACAGGAAUCGUACCCGAAACCGACACAGGUGGUCAGGUCGAGUAGACCAAGGCGCUUGAGAGAACUCUGCUGAAGGAACUAGGCAAAAUGGUACCGUAACUUCGGGAGAAGGUACGCUGUUGUUGGUGAUGGAACUUGCUUCCUGAGCUGACGACAGCCGCAGAAACCAGGCCGCUGCAACUGUUUAUUAAAAACAUAGCACUCUGCAAACACGAAAGUGGACGUAUAGGGUGUGAUGCCUGCCCGGUGCUGGAAGGUUAAUUGAUGGGGUUAGCGUAAGCGAAGCUCUUGAUCGAAGCCCCAGUAAACGGCGGCCGUAACUAUAACGGUCCUAAGGUAGCGAAAUUCCUUGUCGGGUAAGUUCCGACCUGCACGAAUGGCAUAAUGAUGGCGGCGCUGUCUCCAGCAGAGGCUCAGUGAAAUCGAAAUCGCUGUGAAGAUGCAGUGUACCCGCGGCUAGACGGAAAGACCCCGUGAACCUUUACUGCAGCUUGACACUGAACUUUGACCUUACUUGUGUAGGAUAGGUGGGAGGCUUUGAAGCUGGAACGCUAGUUCCAGUGGAGCCGUCCUUGAAAUACCACCCUGGUAAUGUUGAGGUUCUAACUCUGUCCCGUGAUCCGGGACGAGGACCGUGUCUGGUGGGUAGUUUGACUGGGGCGGUCUCCUCCUAAAGAGUAACGGAGGAGUACGAAGGUGCGCUCAGCGUGGUCGGAAAUCACGCGUAGAGUAUAAAGGCAAAAGCGCGCUUAACUGCGAGACCCACAAGUCGAGCAGGUACGAAAGUAGGUCUUAGUGAUCCGGUGGUUCUGUAUGGAAGGGCCAUCGCUCAACGGAUAAAAGGUACUCUGGGGAUAACAGGCUGAUACCGCCCAAGAGUUCAUAUCGACGGCGGUGUUUGGCACCUCGAUGUCGGCUCAUCUCAUCCUGGGGCUGAAGCAGGUCCCAAGGGUAUGGCUGUUCGCCAUUUAAAGAGGUACGCGAGCUGGGUUUAGAACGUCGUGAGACAGUUCGGUCCCUAUCUACCGUGGGCGCUGGAAAUUUGAGAGGAUCUGCUCCUAGUACGAGAGGACCAGAGUGGACGAACCUCUGGUGUACCGGUUGUGACGCCAGUCGCAUCGCCGGGUAGCUAUGUUCGGAAGGGAUAACCGCUGAAAGCAUCUAAGCGGGAAGCCUACCUCAAGAUAAGAUUUCCCUAGGACUUUAUGUCCUCUAAAGAGCCGUUCGAGACUAGGACGUUGAUAGGUUGGAUGUGGAAGCAUAGUGAUAUGUGAAGCUGACCAAUACUAAUUGCUCGUGAGGCUUGACUAU
rnacentral:rRNA from 1 species